UUGGAUCCCUUGCAGCUACAUGA
rnacentral:piRNA from 1 species